CAGCGGGAUGUUCCAAACUGCUUCAGAAGUGUGAAGACUUCUGAGAAGAAAGCUUUUGUAGAGGAGUAUCUCAGAUGGUACAUCCUUGACAGAAACCACAGUGCCAUUCAACGGCCCUGACUGCUUCAGACUUGGAGACCAUGUUCAAACCAGAUCUCAGCCCAGUAGGAACCAAUAGGCGGCAAAAGGAGGGCAAAACAAUCGUCUUCUGGGCAGAUUAUUUGCUUGAUUGCGAAGAGAAAAACACUGCUGUAUCUCUAGAGGAAGUCCUGAUGUUUGCUACAGGUCUGACAGUGAUUCCACCAGCAGGCAUGAUGCCAUCCCCACAUCUUGAGUUUUUGAGUGAUUCACCCUUUCCUGUUGCAAACACCUGUGCAAAUACACUGAAACUGCCACUUUUGGAAUCUUACGCUGCUUUUAGGGCUAACAUGGACUUUGGAAUACAAAAUGCUCCGGGAUUCGGAUUCUACUGAAACUGAAAGAAGAGAUUUCUUGGCAGUCUUGUUCUAAUGCUGUUGGCAUUCAGCUAAUUUUGUGAUGGUUGCUCCAUGGGUCAGACCAUGUUGUUCUCUAUUUCUGGGUGGCAAAGCCUUGCCAUAAUUUCUGAAAAGAUUAGAUAAUAUGAUGUCCGUUUCAAAGUGAUAGCUUUGAAAGGGACAUCAGCUCAUGAAGUCAACAAUCUGUUAGGCAAAUUCUGUAUUUUUUUUUAGAGUGGUGUAUGUCUGGUUUAGGUUCACAGUCCGGGUAUUUGUAAUAUGUCCAUAAUAUAGUUUUUUGUAUCAUCUUAAAAGGGGAUACACUCGGCUUUCAUUUAAGCCAAGUUUUGAAUCUGACCAACUCAGGUCACCAGAGCUUGUUAAAACAAAAUAACAUGAAUCCUUUUCGCCUAACCAAGAAACAUUGUUUGUAAUCCAAUGGUAUCUAGGGACACAAGAGUUGACAACUGAAAUACUCAGACUAAGAAAUCCUGAAAUGUACCAAAUCUAUACUACCAUGCAGUCAUGUUUUUAUGUGGUUAUUAUGGAUUACAUAAUGGUAGGCUAAUCUAAAAAAAACUGUAUAUGGUAUACAUUUCCGGAUUUCUUAGUCUGAGUAUUUCAGCUGUCAACUCUUGUGUCCCUGAUGUCCCUGGAUACCACUGGACUAAAAACAAUGUUUCUUGGUAAGGCAAAAAGAGUUUGUGUUAUUUCUGUUUAACAAGCUGUGGUGACCUCUGAGUUGGUCAGAUUCAAAACUUGGCUUAAAUGAAAGCCGAGUGUAUUCCCUUUUAAGAUGAUACAAAAUUUUAUAUUGUAGAGCUUUGACAAAUGCCCGUAUCGUGAGCCUAAACCAGACAUACACCAGUCUCAAAUAACAGAAUUUGCCCAAAGGGAUUGUUGACUUCAUGAGCUGAUAACUAUGAAUAAACUGCCACUUUAGAAGGGCUAUCAUAUGAAAAUAUCUAAAAAUAGAUAAUAUUUUAUGUUAUAAUGUUCUUACCAUAACAAUGAGUUUUCAUUUGAGUAAAAUGAACAGGACACAAAAUAU